rnacentral:lncRNA from 1 species
GGAAGGGAAGGGAAGGGAAGGGAAGGGAAGGGAAGGGAAGGGAAGGGAAGGGAAGGGAAAGGGAAAGGGAAAGGGAAAGGGAAAGGAAAAGGAAAAGGAAAAGGAAAAGGAAAAGGAAAAGGAAAAGGAAAAGGAAAAGGAAAAGGAAAAGGAAAAAAAAGAAAAAGAGAAAGAAAAAGAGCCUGUUAAAUCAAAACUCAUUCCCUUGGUCUUUCUAGUAAUGUACACUGUGUAAUAAUUCAGUGUAUGAAACAUUCAGCGCCCUCAAUGCUAGCAAUAUUCUUGAAAGGAAGAAAGGAGUUUGUUUUGACUGUACUAUAUCAGAUGUCCUUCCUAAGACUUUGUCUCUUUCUUUAUCUGUCUUUUUUCCCCCAUUGCCACUGCUCUAUUUGCUCUGGCCAACAACCACACAUGUAGCCCUGGUCUGAGUUAGGGUUCCAGUACAUUGGCUCACCUCUGCCUUCUUAGUCCAGCUCCUACCACGUGCCAGGUAGUACUACAAUCUGCUUUGAAACUCACAUACUUCAGUGUUUCCAUUCCACUGCAAAUUGAGGGUGUUAUUUGAUUCUGCAAAAACAAAUAUUACAAAGGUGUUGCCUCUUGAAGUUUUGGAACUUCUGUCACCAAUGCACAAGGGUCUGUAAUUACAGCAAUGUACCCCUCCAUCCUCCACAGCUGCCUCCAGUAGUGUUCCCCCUCAUUAGAAAUCUAUCCUAUAAUUUCGGAUUAGAACUGGAACAUAAGGUAGUAAUUGGCCCUUUCUGUUCUAGUCUUUGCAGAUUUUACAUUGUCAAGAUGAGGCAUUUGUUGUUCUUAAACCUUUCCACCCCUUGGCAAUAGGUCUUGAACUUCAUUUUGCUUUGCUUCGCCUACAUUGGCAGUUGCCCUGGUUCUGUUGCUGUGAGAGCUGGCUGCAGACAGCUUUUCUUCAGGAAGAGCAAGCCUCAAUUCUCUUGGUAAUAGUACAGCCACUGAUUUAUUUAUUUUUUCUCACCACUUGACGUUCAGCUUUUUGCUACACUGGUGACCUGCGUCACUUUCCCAUUGCUACUCUGGCUGUGAAAAUCAUAGAAGAAAGUGAUGUGAAAUUAUAGGCUUUGUCAGUGCCCUGUUUUAAAUAUCUUCUUUCUGGAAAAAGGAACAAGGUAUGUAUCUCAUUAUUCAUUAUUUUUAAAAUGACAAAUCCUUUAAAAUUGUGUUUGUUCCCUGUAUAGGAGAGAAAUAUGAGAGACUUUCUCGAGCUCAGAAUAUGUUAUUGCUGCCUUAGUGCUGGUCAGGUCACACCUGGAGUGCUGGGUCCGUUUCUGGGCCCUCCAGUAUAAAAAAAGAUACAGACAUACUGGAAAGAGUUCAACGUAGGGCCACGAAGAUGAUGAAGAGGCUGGAGCAUCUCUCCUAUGAGGAAAGGCUGAGAGAUCUGGGCCUGUUCAGCCCGGAGAAGAAGCAGUUCAAGGGGUCUCAUUCACACCUAUGUAUAGCUGAAGGGAGGGUGCCAAAAGGAUGGGGCCAGGCUCUUUCCAGUGGUGCCCAAUGCCAGGACAAGAGGCAAUGGACACAAACUGGCAUACAGGGGGUUUCCCCUGAGCGUCAGCAAAUAUUUUUUCAGUGCACAGGUGCUGGACUGCUUGCAUGGGCUGCCCAGAGGCUAUGGAGUCUCCUCCUUGAAGAUCUUCAAAAGCUGCCUGGAUGUGGGCCUGGGUGCCCUGCUGUGUAUGGCCCUGCUUGUGCAGGAAUUGGAGCAGAUGGACCCAGAGGUCCCUGCCCACAUCAGCCAUUCUGAGUUUGCAUGAUUCUUUCUGAAAGUCAUAGUAAUAGGUGCUGAGCUGUAUUUGCUAGUAUGACAUAGCAACAUAUAGGUAAUGUAAAUUUGUGAGCGAGCUCCUUUUAGUUAUAUAUUUAUUUUGAUUUCAAUUGGCAAAAUACAAAAAAGCAUUUCUUAUUCUGGCCUCCAAACUCAUUUAACAGUAGAUUAAGGAAGCAGACCAACCCCCUAAAAGCUUUAGCAAACCAUGAGCUUUUUCCCAUAUGCCAGGAUGCAUCACCAGAUUUUUUCAAGAGAAGAAAAUGGACAAAAAGGCCUCUGCAUGAGUGGGCUGGGGGCAGAGGUCUGUAUAUAUGUACAUGGAGCUGCAGCACUUAAACUGUUUCCUCCUCUGAUCUUUCUGCCUCUUGCCUCAGUGUCUGCAUGGCUGAGGUGUGUACACGCGUGCACAUGUGUGUAUACAUGUAUGUGUUGCUCCAGAUAUAUGUGCACUGGGCUUGACUGACUACACACUGUGUUGGCUGUUCCUGAUGUUUCCUGUUUCAGCUUUCCCACCCCUUGAACCACCAACACUGAUUCCCUUCUGCUUUAUUGCUGCCAAUACACCAUACAAUGCCAAAGAUACGUUUUUAAGUAAGUUCCACAGGCAACGCCAUCUUUCUUUCUAAUUACCCCCAGUUAGUGGGGAUAAACAUUUCCUCAGAGGGUACAAUGUUAAACCACAUUCCAGUAUUCAUCCUGACUUUCUGGUAAGGCUAAGCUUUAAAAAAAUGAUCUUCUUCCCAGUGGGAAGCAGAAAAUUCUGUCCUCAAAAGCACUUCUGAAAAUCAAGCCUUUUCUUCUGGAGGAAAGUGUGCAGCUUGCAGUUGCCGACUCUCUUCAUGUGUUCCCAUGAGUGGAGAUGGCCCUAAUCUGACUUUUCCUUUCUCAUCAUACUCGGUGCAUUUGCUUCCUUUAUGGGCUGUGUUUGUUUAGUUUCUUGCUGUUUGCCGUAUUAACUUCUUUAUUUCUUUUUCGUCAGGAGUUUGAUGCAUAUUUUAAUGUAGAGUCUUGAUUCUGUACCCUGCUCUCCUCUGUUCAGCGACACAAGCAAACCUGCUUCAAACUACAGCGCCUUCUGCAGUUACACGUGAAGACUGAAAGAAAUAGCGACAAUGCCCUUUCAUGUAGAAAAAAUUACACGAAGACAUCCCCGCCACACGACAGUGACGGAGGCAACGGACAGAGCAGGGCGGCUCUGCCCAUACAGAUACCUCCCGCCCCCACAGCCGC